CUGGGUCACAGUAGGUUGCAUUUCUGUCAGUGCAGCCCUGUUGGCUCAGCUCUCUGCUUCCAUCUGUGGUAUCUCAGUGCCUGCAGGUUGGCAUCCCCACAAUACUGUUCCUAUGUGCUUUUAAUGCCUCCAAAGAAAACUUCUUUGAACUACCACGUCAUCUUUCCAGUUCCCCCAGUUCCUUCCUGUUGUGCACAGAACCCUCAGUUGUUCAUCUUGGGCUCACCAUGAGCUUCAGUCAUCUCAGUCAUAAUCACGGCCCUAAAACAAGCAUAAAAUCUCUCUGGAAAAGCCAAGCUGCUCCUGGGAUAAAACUUUCCAAGGUUUCAUCAAAAGAAACCCUUCUGUGAACAAGAAUUUAAUGGGCAAGAUCAGAAGACACAAGAAAGUCAACAGUUACAUAUGAAGAGUACACAUAGAAGAUCCAGUAAUAGAUAUUAAUUUUUAUACCAAAUUUGACGCACCUCCAAGCAUAAAUAUACCAGCAGGAUUCUAUUGAAUUUUGAAGGUUAAAAGAAGGUCACAAACACACAAAUACCACAACAACUGGUACAUCUCUGCAUGUAUUCAGAUAUUCAAAACUAAAAAGCUUCAAUAUUUGUUCCAGAGUGAAUGUUUAUUACUCACAAACAUGACUUUCAGUCUCUUUUUUGAUGCCUAUACUCAAUAAGAAUUGCACUUCACACAACAACCAGUAUAGACACUUACAAAGAGAAACAGAAGUUUCAAGGACAGUUCUUACUAUAUGUAAACUAUACCAAAUAUAAAAUUUACCAUCAUAUUUUCUAUUCUAUCGUAUUUUAAAACAUUUUCCAACUCAUUAAUUAUUGAUCAUGAAUUUCAACUUCCUAAACUGUUAGUGGGAAUAUAAAUUGCUACAACCACUAUGGAAACAGCAUAGAGAUUCCUCAUAAAACUAAAUAUAGAACUACUAUAUGAUCCAUCAAUUCAACUCCUGAGCAUAUAUCCGAACAAAACUAUAAUUCAAAGAGACACAUGCACCCCUAUGUUCAUAGUGGCACUAUACACAACGUAAAUGUCCAUCGGCAGAGGGAUGGAUUAAGAAGGUAUGGUACAUACAUACAAUGGAAUACUACUCGGCCUUAAAAAAGAAUGAAAUAAUGCCAUUUGCAGCAACAUGGAUGCAACUAGAGAUUAUCAUACUAAGUGAAGUAAGACAGAAAGAGAAAGACAAAUACCAUAUGAAAUCACUUAUACAUGGGAUCUAAACUAUGACACAAAUUAAUCUGUCUAUGAACAUAAGGAAACUCAUAUAUACAUGGAGAACAGACAGACUUGUGGUUGCCAAGAGGGAGUGUGGAGGGAGUGGGAUGGACUAGGAGUUUGGCGUUAGUAGAUGCUAACUAUCACAUUUAGAAUGGAUAAGCAAGGUCCUACUGUACAGCACAGGGAACUAUAUCUGAUCUCCCCAGAUAGCCCAUGAUGGAAGAUAAUAUUAAAAAGAGUGUAUAUAGGAGUUCCCGUCGUGGUGCAGAGGAAAUGAAUCCGACCAGGAACCAUGAGGUUGUGGGUUCGAUCCCUGGCCUCGCUCAGUGGGUCAAGGAUCUGGCAUUGCCGUGAGCUGUAGUAUAGGUCACAGAUGCAGCACGGAUCUGGCAUUGCUGUGGCUGUGGCGCAGGCCAGAGGCUACAGCCUCCGAUUAGACCCCCUAGCCUGGGAAUCUCCAUAUGCCGUGGGUGCAGCCCUAAAAAGACAAAAAGACAAAAAAAGAAGAGUGUGUAUAUAUAUGUAUGACUGAGUCACUUUGCUGUACAGCAGACAUUGGUACAGCAUUGUAAAUCAACUAUAUUUUAAUAAAAUUAAAAAGCAAAUUGUACA
rnacentral:lncRNA from 1 species